UACAGAGGUCUCAAGCGUUGUUCGGAUUCAUUGGGCGUAAAGGGUGCGUAGGCGGCGCGGUAAGUCGGGUGUGAAAUCUCGGAGCUUAACUCCGAAACUGCAUUCGAUACUGCCGUGCUUGAGGACUGGAGAGGAGACUGGAAUUUACGGUGUAGCGGUGAAAUGCGUAGAUAUCGUAAGGAAGACCAGUGGCGAAGGCGGAUCUCUGGAACAGCUCCUGACGGCUGAGGCGCGAAGGCUAGGGGGAGCAAACGGG
rnacentral:rRNA from 1 species